rnacentral:lncRNA from 1 species
GCAUGCUAGUUUUCUCUAUAUAAAAAUGCAGUUAUCAACAAAACUGUAAAUUAUGACCUUUAUUUCUAGUUAAAAAAUGAAAACUUUAAAACUGUCUUUCCCAUUGCUGAAACAACCUACUGCAAAUUCACAAAUUUUGCUAGCAUUUAUUAUUAUGAUUUAAGAAAAAAUCAUGGAUGUUAUGUUAAUUAGUACAGUUUCAGGCGUUGCAUGUUGCAUAAAAAUAAUUCUAUCAAAGUUCAGCCAGAAUUUCAUGAAACCUAUAGGGUCAAGAUUUUUCCCAUUAUAAAAUUAUCACAAAUUUCUGAAUUUACAGACCUAAAAUGUUCUAUCAUAUAUAUACAGAAUACUAAUGGAAAAGAAAUAUAUACAUUUGGUUUAUAAUCAAAGAUCUGUUGAAGAAAUGUUUAGGAGCUUUGUUAAAAUUUUAUACAUACUCCUAGAUAUAAAUGAAUGGGAAAAUCAGAUAGAGUUUCCUGUUUCACCAGUCAACAACAACUGAAGAAGUUCAAAAGAUCAACUCUUAAACUAUAACAUAUCAAAGAUUUAGGGCCAAUUUCUCCUAAAUAAAAAUGAUAUGAUAGAAAAAACCCACCAUACACCACAUGAUUUAGACAACUUUAUUAAAUACACGCUUGACUGCAACAAAUACUAUAUACAAUGGAACACUAAAAUAAGUGAGGUAAAUAUGACCCAAUUUUAUCGUAAUAGAAAUACUGUGGAUUCAUUAAGAUUCUUUCAGUACUCAUUAACAUAGAUUUUGAAGGUAUAUAUGUGAAGCUAAAAUUAAGCUGUGCAUGUGUAAAGCCAUUAUCAGCGCUCCUAGUUAUAUCAUGGCAGCCAUACUUUAUUGUUGGAGGUAGCAGAGAACACCAAACUUCAGGAUUUAAAGCA